rnacentral:rRNA from 1 species
GGGGCCUACGGGAGGCAGCAGUGGGGAAUCUUAGACAAUGGGCGCAAGCCUGAUCUAGCCAUGCCGCGUGAGUGAAGAAGGCCUUAGGGUCGUAAAGCUCUUUCGCCUGUGAAGAUAAUGACUGUAGCAGGUAAAGAAACCCCGGCUAACUCCGUGCCAGCAGCCGCGGUAAUACGGAGGGGGUUAGCGUUGUUCGGAGUUACUGGGCGUAAGGCGCGCGUAGGCGGACAUUUAAGUCAGAGGUGAAAUCCCAGGGCUCAACCCUGGAACUGCCUUUGAUACUGGGUGUCUUGAGUUCGAGAGAGGUGAGUGGAAUUCCGAGUGUAGAGGUGAAAUUCGUAGAUAUUCGGAGGAACACCAGUGGCGAAGGCGGCUCACUGGCUCGAUACUGACGCUGAGGUGCGAAAGUGUGGGGAGCAAACAGGAUUAGAUACCCUGGUAGUCCACACCGUAAACGAUGAAUGCCAGUCGUCGGGCAGUAUACUGUUCGGUGACACACCUAACGGAUUAAGCAUUCCGCCUGGGGAGUACGGUCGCAAGAUUAAAACUCAAAGGAAUUGACGGGG